rnacentral:rRNA from 1 species
AGUGAACGCUGGCGGCAGGCCUAACACAUGCAAGUCGAGCGGUAGCACAGUAAGAGUUUCCGCUUUCGGGUGGCGUGUCGCGGGCGGGUGAGGUAUACAUCGGAAUCCAUUUUUUCGUGGGGGAUAUAGUGGGGAAACUUACGAUAACACCGCAAACGACCUACGGCAGAAAGCAGGAGAUCUUGGGCCCUUGCCAUCGUGUAUGACCCGAUGUGGGAUUAGCUAGUUGGCGGGGUAAAGGCCCACCAAGGCGACGAUCCGUAGCUGGUCUGAGAGGAUGAUCAGCCACACUGGAACUGAGACACGGUCCAGACUCCUACGGGAGGCAGCAGUGGGGAAUAUUGGACAAUGGGCGCAAGCCUGAUCCAGCCAUACCGCGUGGGUGAAGAAGGCCUUCGGGUUGUAAAGCCCUUUUGUUGGGAAGGAAGAGCGUCAGGUUAAUACCCCGCUGUACUGACGGUACCCAAAGAAUAAGCACCGGCUAACUUCGUG